CCUCCACAAGUUGCAGGUUCAGAGUAAAUCUUCAAAUUAGAACACUAAUGUCCAAAACUCGAGAGAGUCUAACGUUGAAAUCUAGGUAGUUGUAAAGAUCUAGAACAGAGCAACUAUUCAUCAUCUCUAAGACAAAAUUUCAAUGUUCAUAAAUUUUUAUUUAGCUCUAGUUUAAAUUGACUCUAAACAGAUUCUAACACUUAGCUAAUUAUAUACUCACAAGAAGACUCUAUGACUUGUGGACCUUCAUGUGCCCCCAUAUUUUUGGUAAUUUUAUGACUAUAUAGACUCAAAAAUUGCUUAGGUAUAAUUACCUGAUAAUUAGGGGAUGCUCCUCCCACAAGCUGGAUGGUUGCAAUACUUGGUGUAGAUGUCCUUUAGAGUGAGCUAACUAGUAGCGGACCUGGUGGGUGCCACUGAUAGACUCUCUCCUUGUUAUGAUGUUAUUCCUGCAUAAAUACUCUCCACAAAGAGAAACCAAAACUUGAGGCUCGAAUUUGUUAAUGGGUUAGCGGUCAGCCAAAGAUUAAUUGAUCACCUUUAUGAGCUAGCUUUAUUGUUGUCUAAUUUAAACAAGAUUUCAAUUUUCUCUUAUUUUUUAUUUUUCUAUUUAUGAUGUAGGAAUUUAAAUAUGAAUGCUAUAUUUUUUCAUUUUUAUUUUAUAUCACCACAGCAGAUGUUCCUUCAAAAAAUACCAUAGGGUAUCCACAUGGGGCUUUGUGAUGCCAUGAGUAAUGCAGUAAAUAUUUUUUGUUGUUUUUAUAUCUUUUAGUGUGUAAAAAUUAUGCUACUAAAUAAAUUACAAAUGCAUUUGAAGAGAUAACUACCAUUCUAACCUUAUGGCUAGGGUAUGGAAUUUAAAGUCUACCAACAGGGCUUAGAUAGAGGAGAACACUUACUCUAUGGGUUCAUCGUUUGAGGUAACCUCAGUCAACUCCCUAUUUCGUGGUGAUGCCGCACAUGCCUUCUUCCAUCUCGUUUUUGUCUCUUUUUGCUUCUCUCUUUUCUAGCUCCGGCUCUUUAGCUUUAUUCUCUUUCUCCCACGCUUCUAGCCAUGCUGAUAGCUAGGGGAUGUUCUCCCCCAAACUAGAUGUUUGCUUAUGGUUGAUCGUUGAAGCUGAGUGGUCCUCAUGGAGGAGCUCAUGCUUGUAAGAGCAAGUGUUGCCUGGAAUACUUCAAUCUCAUUACCCAAGAAGUUACUUCAUUCAUACAGGGUCAGCUAUAUGUUAGAAAGGUGUACUUCAUGUGAUGAAGAUGAAGAUUCCUAGGUAAGCUGGCUCUUGGAGUCAUCCUGCAGAAAGCUCUCACAAAACACCAAAACUCGUGGAACGGUAUUAGGAUAAAACGUUAAUGAUUAUCAUUUUUAGAGGAUUGGGUGUUGUGGUGGUUUCAAAGUAUUUUUAAGACAGCAGUAUUGCAACAGGAUGCUCAGUUAAUAUUUUUUUGGAUUUUAUGGGUUUAUAAAGUGCAAAUGCAUGAUAUAUAUUUUUAUUCUAUAGGCCACCACAGUGAGAACUCCUACAGCUUUUACACUACAAGAGUUUCACAUGGAGCUUAAUAUUUUUUUAAGAUGCAUGAAUGUAGCCUAAUGCAAGACUAUUUAUUUUUGUUAUUUCUAUGCAUUGCCAAUAUAGAAAGGUAAACAUACUAAAGAGAAAUUAACUCAUACAAUGUAAGGAAGUAGAUAUAGAUAACUACAGAUGUUACCUUAUGGUGAGGGUUUGAUGUUUUUAGUCCUUUGAACUGGACUUCUCCUUGCAGUGGUUCAUUGAGUACUUUGAGUUGCUCUUGACGGUAAGGAUUGAGGUGGUGCCUCUACUAGUGGCUCCCAAUAGCGGUGCCACCUUAUUUCUUUCUGUUGUAGGCAUCUCAAAGCCAAUCUUAUGUGCAUCAUUAUUACUAGUUGAAAACUUUCAUAAAGACGAGGUAGAGAUCAAGUGCACGGGCUCUGUUGGUGGGAAAACACCAACAGAAACUAGAAAUUUAUUUAUCCUCUAUCCUUGGGCACAAUAAGAUUGAUAUUAUUCAUAUUGUUCCUUCCUAUCAAUGAUGAGAGGACCAGAAGUAUAAAUGUGAUAUUUAAACUUGUGAGAUAAAGAGUAAAGUUACUUAACCAUUAGAAAGGAUAUUCAUCUUUAUAAUAUAUCAAGAAUAAUAGAUGAAGUAUUUCUAGCUUACUUGGUUAAGACUAAGAUUACAAGAAUAGCACCAUGAACAAACUCAGGGAACAAAUCAUGUUGAGUUUAAUCAGGUUGAUCAAUUUAAGUUGUAACUCUAACAUGGUUGUAUUUUCAUUUAUUGCAUACCA
rnacentral:lncRNA from 1 species